rnacentral:tRNA from 1 species
GGUUGGGUGGCACAAUUGGUUAGCGCGUGGAGCUAAUAACUCCAAGGUUGUGGGUUCGAGACCCAUCCUGACCA